UAAGCACAGCUGAGAUCCAAUUUCUAGGUCAGAACAAGAGAUUUUCACCCUGCAGAGGUGAGCAGCCAGCAUGACAUGCCCCGGCCUGCUGUGGGCACUCAUGGUCUCUACCUAUCUUGGAUACAGCACAGCCCAGACAGUAACUCAGUCGCAACGGCAAAUGUCCAUCCGGGAGACAGAGUCAGUGACCCUGGACUGCACAUAUGACACUAAAGAUAGUAAUUAUUAUUUGUUCUGGUACAAACAGUUUCCCAGAGGAGGGAUGAUUUUCAUUAUUCGCCAGGAUGGUUUUAAGCAACAGAGUGCAACAAAGAAUCGCUUUUCUGUGAACUUCCGGAAAGCAGCCAAGUCCUUCAGCCUCAGGAUCUCAGACUCACAGCUGGAGGAUACUGCGAUGUAUUUUUGUGUUUACAGUAGCCCACAGUGA